rnacentral:rRNA from 1 species
UGGGGAAUUUUGGACAAUGGGCGCAAGCCUGAUCCAGCAAUGCCGCGUGCAGGAUGAAGGCCCUCGGGUUGUAAACUGCUUUUGUACGGAACGAAACGGCUCCUAUUAAUACUGGGGGCUAAUGACGGUACCGUAAGAAUAAGCACCGGCUAACUACGUGCCAGCAGCCGCGGUAAUAA